AUACUGGGAUCAAAGAAGUGCUGGGAUAGGCUCACUGCAACCCGAACUCUCUGCUAGAGACCCGCUAGCCACUGCUCUCAUUUCAGGUGCAUCCUCCAACCUCCAGAACAAAAGCUGGGGUGGGAAAGCUAACUGACUGUCACCCUGUUCUUUCAUUGCUGGACCCGCUGAUCCAUUCCACCAGAUCACAUUUGCCUUCUUUAAAUACGUCCCAGCAGUGGUAUUUACAGAUCUACAACACUUGGCUUCUCAUCCCAUCAGCUGCAAUAAACCUACUAAGAAUACGGUAGAUCUUAGUUUCUAUGUAUUAUUUAAUUUGUGUAAUAAAAACUCUGCUAGCAAAAA